UACGUAGGGUGCAAGCGUUAAUCGGAAUUACUGGGCGUAAAGCGUGCGCAGGCGGUUGUGCAAGACAGGUGUGAAAUCCCCGGGCUUAACCUGGGAACUGCACUUGUGACUGCACAGCUGGAGUGCGGCAGAGGGGGAUGGAAUUCCGCGUGUAGCAGUGAAAUGCGUAGAUAUGCGGAGGAACACCGAUGGCGAAGGCAAUCCCCUGGGCCUGCACUGACGCUCAUGCACGAAAGCGU
rnacentral:rRNA from 1 species